GAUGAGUCUGGGCUGAAAGGCCGGCAUCGCGCGUCAGUGAAGGAUAGUGUCGCUGGUGGCCGGGCUGGGGCGAGGGGCGUCCGAUGCCUUCACCUUUUCUGGUUUCCGGUUUGACGCCGUGGCGUAGGUGCUGCGGGCUUGCAACCUAGUGUGGACUGGUGGGGCUCAGGAGAUUUCUGAGCUUCUCGAACUCCGUAUUGCUUGGCGUCCUACGGGAGUUGGACGAGAGGCUGGGACCAGUGUAGAUUCCACUGGGCAGGGGAGCAAAAGCUCUGCACUGCCUUGAAUGAGUAUGGAAGGGUCGGUCUAACUGCUUAAUAAGUCGGGGUGGAUCCAGGAGGGAGAAAUAGACCGGAGGUCCGGCUUCUCGGUUCAGAUCUUUAGGCUUAACUUCUGAUUUUGUGAAAUGAACGCAGCUGGACGUAUGAUAGAUCUCAAGAUGUCUGUGAUUGUGUAUUUGUGAAUUGAUGAAAGGAAUGUAGAUCUCAGUAAUAACAAUUAUCAUAUGCAAUGUAAAAAUUGCAGUACCCCGAGAAAUGUUGAGAACCUUUAAUUUGGUAAUACGACUUCCAAGAAUAAACUUGAGCAAGUAGCAUGCAUCUGUGAUCUCCAAAAUCAUUGCAGCAAUUACAAAGAAAAUUUUCAAAGAACCAUGAUGGCAAAAGCUAAGAAAAUGGCUAAAUAAACAUGGUUAGCUUUAUGAAAA
rnacentral:lncRNA from 10 species